GACGAACGCUGGCGGCGUGCUUAACACAUGCAAGUCGAACGGAAAGGCCCUGCUUUUGUGGGGUGCUCGAGUGGCGAACGGGUGAGUAACACGUGAGUAACCUGCCCUUGACUUUGGGAUAACUUCAGGAAACUGGGGCUAAUACCGGAUAGGAGCUCCUGCUGCAUGGUGGGGGUUGGAAAGUUUCGGCGGUUGGGGAUGGACUCGCGGCUUAUCAGCUUGUUGGUGGGGUAGUGGCUUACCAAGGCUUUGACGGGUAGCCGGCCUGAGAGGGUGACCGGCCACCUUGGGACUGCGAUACGGCCCAGACUCCUACGGGAGGCAGCAGUGGGGAAUAUUGCACAAUGGGCGGAAGCCUGAUGCAGCAACGCCGCGUGCGGGAUGACGGCCUUCGGGUUGUAAACCGCUUUCGCCUGUGACGAAGCGUGAGUGACGGUAAUGGGUAAAGAAGCACCGGCUAACUAUGUG
rnacentral:rRNA from 1 species